CAGCGGAGGGAUCAUUACCGAGUUAUACAACUCAUCAACCCUGUGAACAUACCUAAAACGUUGCUUCGGCGGGAACAGACGGCCCUGUAACAACGGGCCGCCCCCGCCAGAGGACCCCUAACUCUGUUUUUAUAAUGUUUUUCUGAGUAAACAAGCAAAUAAAUUAAAACUUUCAACAACGGAUCUCUUGGCUCUGGCAUCGAUGAAGAACGCAGCGAAAUGCGAUAAGUAAUGUGAAUUGCAGAAUUCAGUGAAUCAUCGAAUCUUUGAACGCACAUUGCGCCCGCCAGUAUUCUGGCGGGCAUGCCUGUUCGAGCGUCAUUACAACCCUCAGGCCCCCGGGCCUGGCGUUGGGGAUCGGCAGAAGCCCCCUGUGGGCACACGCCGUCCCUCAAAUACAGUGGCGGUCCCGCCGCAGCUUCCAUUGCGUAGUAGCUAACACCUCGCAACUGGAGAGCGGCGCGGCCAUGCCGUAAAACACCCAACUUCUGAAUGUUGACCUCGAAUCAGGUAGGAAUACCCGCUGAACUUAAGCAUAUCAAAGGGGGAAGAAA
rnacentral:rRNA from 1 species